rnacentral:rRNA from 1 species
UACAGAGGUCUCAAGCGUUGUUCGGAUUCAUUGGGCGUAAAGGGUGCGUAGGCGGGUCCUUAAGUCAGGGGUGAAAUCCUGGAGCUCAACUCCAGAACUGCCUUUGAUACUGAAGAUCUUGAGUUCGGGAGAGGUGAGUGGAACUGCGAGUGUAGAGGUGAAAUUCGUAGAUAUUCGCAAGAACACCAGUGGCGAAGGCGGCUCACUGGCCCGAUACUGACGCUGAGGCACGAAAGCGUGGGGAGCAAACAGG